UUUAGAAAGGAAGGAAGAGGAAGGAAAUUUGAGUAAAGACUGAUAAGUAAGUUGUAAAACUCUCUUGGGCAUGGUAUAAAACAAUAAUUAUAAAACAUAUAAAGCAAUAAUCUGUGCAGUGUGCCAGGAAUGAGUACAGGAACUUGGAAGGAUUGAGUGAAAAAUAUGAAACCAGGAUACCAGUGUAUGAUGAUGGCAUUUUAUCAGAGAAACUGAAUGAUCUGCUUCUUGUUGUUGCUUCAGUGGGUGGAAGUUAGAGAAUAUACAAGCUUCUCUCAGAUUAUAUCUACUACCAUCCUGGUAUUGGCAUAAGACUGGCAUUGCUGAUAAGAUUGUAGUAUUGAUUUUGAUGCCCAAUGUAUUGCGAAGUUGAGUGAAGACUCCUGAGGAUGUAAUACUGAUGGAAACAACUGAUCUAAAGAAGAACAAAACUUAGGUAAUUACCAACUAAUUUCUAUACUAAAUAGUUUGAUACAAGUUUAUCAUAAGUACGAAUUGUGGUAGGUCAAGGGACAAAAGUUUGAAUAUGCAUGUAAUGUCUUUAAAGUACAUAUUACUCAUUUCUUUAAAUAUAUUCUUAUAUUUACCUAUGUGUUAGGCAUAUCCACCAUACUAUAGCUGUGUCUGUUGUAUAAAUUCUCUACUGAAUGUAUAUGCCCAUAUAUUAUUGCUUUUCUGUAAAAGAGGCUUGGUCAAAGCCCAGAGUGUAGCUUGUGUAGUAAAAUAUUUAACCUUGUACAAGAAGAAAUCUAGUUUUUAAUCUCAAUUCCCAGGAUGUAAUCUUUGUUCGCCUUGGGACCCUAACCUAGCCAGAUAGUAAGAGUGUGAAUGUAGGGUGUGGGUUGGCUGUGCCAUAAAGACCAAAAUAUGAUUUAGGAUCAGGGCAUUGGAUGGUAUGCUAUCAGUUAACCUGGAGACUGAGAUCAACCAUAUGAACAAUCAAUCAAUCAUGUCUACAUGAUGAAAUCCCAGUAAAAACUCUGAAUACCAAGUCUCAGGUAAGCAUCUCUGAUUAUAUUCCAUGCAUAUGGUCAUACAUGAACAGUGGGAGAAGACUAUAGAAACUGCAUUUGGUAGUUGUCCUGGACUCCACCUAUGUUCUUCCUUUGCUUGAUUUUAAUCUUCAGACUUUCACUGUGAUAAAUCAUAACUAUGUUUUUAAUAACCUUCAUGAGU
ensembl:lncRNA